GCGGCGGUAUACGCGCAGACGCCCAUUAUUAAACGAAAACGUGGUAGCUGUUUGUUCUGACUGCGGACUUUCGUGCUUUACUUUGCUAAAAGCUGUUAUCAUAUUUUUUAAUAGUUCUUACUACUAUAUUAUACGUUUUUAAAAUUUAGUUAUAUAUAAAGGUGAGACAAUAUUCAAUAUUCGUCGAAUUUUUUAUUUGUUCAUUGAAAUAAAGAAGAAUACACGAGAGACAGUGAUUGUGAUACCCUUAACGAAGUCAGUUUUAUGCAUUGAUCUCAUUUUUUAUUCAACGUGAUUAAUGAAAAUUGAAGAUGUACAUAUAUUAAUUGCAGUAAAUAAGAUUCUGAAAAAAUUUUUGGAUGAAAGCAUUUAAAUAUUGUAGCUUUUAUUUUUCAGUGCAUCCGAUCAACUUUUCCUAUUAAGUAAGUUGCACAAUUACGAUAUAUUUUCCUUCAAGAAAUCAAUAUUCCGAAGAUACCACACGUUAAUUAUUAUUCCAUGGUUUGUAAGAAUCUCGAUAUACUGCAAAAAUAAUGAUAUGACUGUGAUUACCUAUAAUGAUUUUUCGUUUUAUUUUACACGCUUAUUUCUGUUCUUGUUCUAAUUGUACUAUUAAUUAAUAGUGUUUUCGGUGUUUUUGGUCUACCGUAUCUUUCAUCGAUUUGUAUUAAAUUCAUCGUAAAUACAACAAUAGAUAUGUCUGCACUUACAUGUUCUCUUCAAUUGUGUGAAAAUUAAUUGAAUUAUAAAUACGUAAGAGUAUGGCAUUACUUUCAUGUUUUAGAACAUUAGCAUUAGGUGCUUGUAAUAUGUUUCAUAAAGGCUCACGUCCAUUAGUUUUGUGUGGUCCUUCAGGAAGUGGAAAAAGUACGCUUUUAAAAAAGCUUUUUGAAGAAUUUCCAGAUACAUUUGGUUAUUCUGUGUCUCAUACCACUAGAAGUCCUAGACCAGGUGAGGAAGAUGGGAAACAUUAUCAUUUUACUACUAAAGAUAAGAUGCAAAAACAAAUAGAACAGGAUGAAUUUCUUGAAACUGCUACAUUCAGUGGGAAUAUGUAUGGUACUAGUAAACGUGCAGUAGAAGAAGUACAAAAAGCAGGUAAAAUUUGCGUAUUAGAUGUUGAAGUGCAAGGUGUAAAACAAAUAAAACAAAGUUCUUUGGAUCCAUUGUAUAUAUUUAUUAAAGCUCCAUCUAUCGAAGAAUUGGAGAAAAGAUUAAGAGCUAGGAAAACAGAAACAGAAGAUGCUUUGCAGCGGAGAUUAUCCAUUGCUAGGCUAGAGAUAGAAUAUGAAUUUUUUUAGGAGAAAAGCCUGGUAAUUUUGACAUAGUGAUUGAAAAUGACAAUGUUUCUAAGGCAUAUGAAAAACUAAGAGACUUUUUGAUGUCAAAUCUAAAGCGAGGUGAUGCAGGACAUUAAACAUAAGCCUCUUAAAGAUACAUUAUUCUUUGAAAUCAUAAAUCAUAAAUUAUAAUUAUUUUUAUAUAUCAUUGCGUAAAUUAUAAUAAUAGAUAAUUAUUACACGAUGAAGCGCAUGAUUAACUUAUGUCCAAGGAUUGGAUUACUAGAUCAAAGAAUAAAUUUAUAACAAAUAAUUUUAUACAAUGCUAAAUAGACCUUAAUAUUGCAAGAGUAAAUAUAGGUAUACAUGCUUCAAGCUUGUUACAUGCAUGGUACUAAUGUAAAAAUUCAGAUUAAUGUCACUUUAAAGGCAUUGUAAAGCAAAGAUUACAAAUGUAUAGUUUGAAGUAAAACUAUGAAUAAGGAAACAAGGAUAUGCAGAAUGUUCAUACAGUUUGUUUCUAUCCAAUACUUAAAGAGACUAAGUAUAUGUCAAGUAACAGAGACUUGUUAAGUUAUUUUUGUAGUUUCUUUUACAGUUCUGUAUAUACUUUUGCUUCGACUCGAAUAGGAAAAACAUUGUACAGUAUUUACAUAAUAACUUAUAGGAUUACAUCGAUUCAGUGCAAUACUCUAGUGCUUUAAUGCACAUAGAAUGUGUGCAAGUGUCAAAUUAUUUUAGAUUAAUGAUAUCUUGCCGAAUGUAUACAAAGGACAGUCAAUUUAUGCGAAGACGGAACUUUACUACAGGCUAGAUAUCUAAAAAGAAAACUGAAGAAUUAACUAUAAUGUUUUAGAUGUAGCUAACUGAGACUAUUCACCAGACGAAGUUGUGUUCCAAUAGUGUAGAUUAUUUAUAAAGUACUUGUGAUUUUGUCCUCGUCAAACAUCGUAUACUUACUGCACAAAUCGAGAUUCAUUCAUAAAUUCAAUUACACUUGAAUGUAUCGUAUUGCCGAUUUAUCAGAAGGGAAAGGCAUUACACAAACAUCCCUUUAAGAGCAUUCAUCAUCGAGUAGACAUAUUUCACACGUUCUAUUUAUUUGCAAAUAUUUCUGAAAAAUUAUAUUCGAAAUAAAUAUAUUUUUAUGUUAGAUAAAAAUUAACGAAAUUUUCGAAAUUCUUACAAUUACUGUCGUUUAUCUGUUUCUUACACAUCACAUUUGUACAUGGUACAAGAUAUGAAUAUGAAACAUUUAUUUAUCGAAUAUCAGCAUGUUGUUGCUUCCACGAGCGCGGAAGAAAUUACAUAUUUUCCUAUAUACGGAGUGUUAUCGCUUACUUAUUAGUACGUGUGUAUGGUUACAUAAAUAUGACGAUAAAGUGACGUUUGAAUGAACAAGGCGUAGCGAAAUGUCUAUGCAUUGUUAAAGAAAACUGUAUCAUUGUAUCAUAAUAUAUCGAAUAAAUAUUUCAACCGUGUGCGAUACUAAAAACAAAA